AUUGAACGCUGGCGGCAUGCCUAACACAUGCGAGUCGAGCGGAUAAAGGGAGCUUGCUCCUGGAUUCAGCUGCGGACGGGUGAGUAAUUCCUAGGAAUCUGCCUUGUAUUGGGGGAUAACGUCCUUACACGGGCGCUAAUACCGCAUACGUCCUGAGUGAGAACGUGGUGGAUCUUCGGACCUCACGCUAUCAGAUGAGCCUAGGUCGGAUUAGCUAGUUGGUGGGGUAAAUGCCUACCAAGGCGACGAUCCGUAACUGGUCUGAGAGGAUGAUCAGUCACACUGGAACUGAGACACGGUCCAGACUCCUACGGGAGGCAGCAGUGGGGAAUAUUGGACAAUGGGCGAAAGCCUGAUCAAGCCACGCCGCGUGUGUGAAGAAGGUCUUCGGAUCGUAAAGCACUUUAAGUUGGGAGGAAGGGCAGUAAGUUAAUACAUUGCUGUUUUGACGUUACCAACAGAAUAAGCACCGGCUAACUUCGUG
rnacentral:rRNA from 1 species